rnacentral:rRNA from 1 species
ACAGAGAUAGCUACUGGAAACGGUAGGUAAACUCUGAUAAGCCCGAGAGGGGAAAGUGGAAGGCAGCCUUGGGAUGGACCUACUAUCCAUCAGGUAGUUGGUGAGGUAAAGGCUUACCAAGCCGAUGACGGAUAACCGGUGUGAGAGCAUGUACGGUCACAAGGGCACUGAGACACGGGCCCUACUCCUACGGGAGGCAGCAGUGGGGAAUAUUGGACAAUGGGCGAAAGCCUGAUCCAGCGACGCCGCGUGAAGGAAGAAGUCCUUCGGGAUGUAAACUUCUGAACUAAUCGAAUAAAAAGGGUAGUGGACACACUACAGAAGAAGUAGAUUAGGAAAAGUCCCGGCUAACUACGUGCCAGCAGCCGCGGUAAGACGUAGGGGGCGAGCGUUGCCCCGGAAUCACUGGGUGUAAAGGGGACGUAGGCGGAUGAUCAAGUCAUCUGUGAAAAGAUUGCUCAAACGAUUGGCUUGCGGAUGAAACUGGUCAUCUUGGGCGUAGCAGAGGUAGACGGAAUUACCUGAGUAGGGGUGAAAUCCGCAGAUACAGGUAAGAAGGCCGGUGAAGAAGUUGGUCUACUGGGCUACAGCUGACGCUGAGGUCCGAAAGCCAGGGGAGCGAACCGGAUUAGAUACCCGGGUAGUCCUGGCUGGUAAACGAUGCUCACUAGGUGUAGGGAGCGAAAGACUCUCUGUGCUGAAGCGAACGCGCUAAGUGAGCCACCUGGGGAGUACGUCCGCAAGG